rnacentral:rRNA from 1 species
GAUGAACGCUGGCGGCGUGCCUAAUACAUGCAAGUCGAGCGAACAGACGAGGAGCUUGCUCCUCUGACGUUAGCGGCGGACGGGUGAGUAACACGUGGAUAACCUACCUAUAGGACUGGGAUAACUUCGGGAAACCGGAGCUAAUACCGGAUAAUAUAUUGAACCGCAUGGUUCAAUAGUGAAAGACGGUUUUGCUGUCACUUAUAGAUGGAUCCGCGCGGCAUUAGCUAGUUGGUAAGGUAACGGCUUACAAAGGCAACGAUCCGUAGCCGACCUGAGAGGUGGAUCGGCCACACUGGAACUGAGACACGGUCCAGACUCCUACGGGAGGCAGCAGUAGGGAAUCUUCGGCAAUGGGCGAAAGCCUGACGGAGCAACGCCGCGUGGGUGAGGAAGGUCUUCGGAUCGUAAAACUCUGUUAUUAGGGAGGAACAAAUGUGUAAGUAACUAUGCACGUCUUGACGGUACCUAAUCAGAAAGCCACGGCUAACUACGUG